rnacentral:tRNA from 1 species
GAAGGUAUAGCUCAAGUGGUAGAGUGCAUGCUUAGCAUGCAUGAGGUCCUGGGUUCCAUCCCCAGUACUGCCC